rnacentral:miRNA from 1 species
GGUGUGGUCUUGUUGGAGGAAGUGUGUCACUGGGGGUGGGCUUUGGGGUUUCAAAAGCUCAAGUCAGACCCAGUGUCUCUUUCUCUUCCUGUUGCCUGCAUAUUCU